UGCAAGUCGAACGAGUUCUCGUUGAUGAUCGGUGCUUGCACCGAGAUUCAACAUGGAACGAGUGGCGGACGGGUGAGUAACACGUGGGUAACCUGCCCUUAAGUGGGGGAUAACAUUUGGAAACAGAUGCUAAUACCGCAUAGAUCCAAGAACCGCAUGGUUCUUGGCUGAAAGAUGGCGUAAGCUAUCGCUUUUGGAUGGACCCGCGGCGUAUUAGCUAGUUGGUGAGGUAAUGGCUCACCAAGGCGAUGAUACGUAGCCGAACUGAGAGGUUGAUCGGCCACAUUGGGACUGAGACACGGCCCAAACUCCUACGGGAGGCAGCAGUAGGGAAUCUUCCACAAUGGACGCAAGUCUGAUGGAGCAACGCCGCGUGAGUGAAGAAGGCUUUCGGGUCGUAAAACUCUGUUGUUGGAGAAGAAUGGUCGGCAGAGUAACUGUUGUCGGCGUGACGGUAUCCAACCAGAAAGCCACGGCUAACUACGUGCCAGCAGCCGCGGUAAUACGUAGGUGGCAAGCGUUAUCCGGAUUUAUUGGGCGUAAAGCGAGCGCAGGCGGUUUUUUAAGUCUGAUGUGAAAGCCCUCGGCUUAACCGAGGAAGCGCAUCGGAAACUGGGAAACUUGAGUGCAGAAGAGGACAGUGGAACUCCAUGUGUAGCGGUGAAAUGCGUAGAUAUAUGGAAGAACACCAGUGCGCGAAGGCGGCUGUCUGGUCUGUAACUGACGCUGAGGCUCGA
rnacentral:rRNA from 1 species